rnacentral:rRNA from 1 species
AACGAACGCUGGCGGCGUGCUUAACACAUGCAAGUCGAGCGGGAAAGUUUCCUUCGGGAAGCGAGUACAGCGGCAGACGGGUGAGUACAACGUAGGUAACCUACCCUCGAGACCGGGAUAACCUGUCGAAAGACGGGCUAAUACCGGAUAAGACCACAAGGGCUGCGGCCUUUGAGGUAAAAGAUGGCCUCUGCUUGCAAGCUAUCACUUGGGGGAUGGGCCUGCGCGCCAUUAGCUUAGNGGUGAGGUAACGGCUCACCAAGGCAAAGAUGGCUAGCUGGUCUGAGAGGAUGGCCAGCCACACUGGGACUGAGACACGGCCCAGACUCCUACGGGAGGCAGCAGUGGGGAAUAUUGCGCAAUGGGCGAAAGCCUGACGCAGCGACGCCGCGUGGG